UCCAGGAAAAGCCUCUAAGCAUCAGGUAACAUUAAAUCGUACCCCAAACCGACACAGGUGGUCAGGUAGAGAAUACUCAGGCGCUUGAGAGAACUCGGGUGAAGGAACUAGGCAAAAUGGUGCCGUAACUUCGGGAGAAGGCACGCUGGCAUUAGGUAAAGGGACUUGCUCCCGGCGCCGAAGCCAGUCGCAGAUACCAGCUGGCUGCAACUGUUUAAUAAAAACACAGCACUGUGCAAACACGAAAGUGGACGUAUACGGUGUGACGCCUGCCCGGUGCUGGAAGGUUAAUUGAUGGGGUCAGCCGCAAGGCGAAGCUCUUGAUCGAAGCCCCAGUAAACGGCGGCCGUAACUAUAACGGUCCUAAGGUAGCGAAAUUCCUUGUCGGGUAAGUUCCGACCUGCACGAAUGGCGUAAUGAUGGCCAGGCUGUCUCCACCCGAGACUCAGUGAAAUUGAACUCGCUGUGAAGAUGCAGUGUACCCGCGGCAAGACGGAAAGACCCCGUGAACCUUUACUAUAGCUUGACACUGAACAUUGAGCCUUGAUGUGUAGGAUAGGUGGGAGGCAUCGAAGUGUGGACGCCAGUCUGCAUGGAGCCAACCUUGAAAUACCACCCUUUAAUGUUUGAUGUUCUAACUCGGCCCCAUAAUCUGGGGUGAGGACAGUGUCUGGUGGGUAGUUUGACUGGGGCGGUCUCCUCCCAAAGAGUAACGGAGGAGCACGAAGGUUAGCUAAUCACGGUCGGACAUCGUGAGGUUAGUGCAAAGGCAUAAGCUAGCUUGACUGCGAGAGUGACGGCUCGAGCAGGUACGAAAGUAGGUCUUAGUGAUCCGGUGGUUCUGAAUGGAAGGGCCAUCGCUCAACGGAUAAAAGGUACUCCGGGGAUAACAGGCUGAUACCGCCCAAGAGUUCAUAUCGACGGCGGUGUUUGGCACCUCGAUGUCGGCUCAUCACAUCCUGGGGCUGAAGUAGGUCCCAAGGGUAUGGCUGUUCGCCAUUUAAAGUGGUACGCGAGCUGGGUUUAGAACGUCGUGAGACAGUUCGGUCCCUAUCUGCCGUGGGCGUUGGAAGAUUGAGAGGGGCUGCUCCUAGUACGAGAGGACCGGAGUGGACGAAUCACUGGUGUUCGGGUUGUCAUGCCAAUGGCAUUGCCCGGUAGCUAAAUUCGGAAGAGAUAACCGCUGAAAGCAUCUAAGCGGGAAACUUGCCUCGAGAUGAGUCUUCCCUGGGGCUUUAAGCCCCCUGAAGGAACGUUAAAGACUAUGACGUUGAUAGGCUGGGUGUGUAAGUGCAGCGAUGCAUUGAGCUAACCAGUACUAAUGAUCCGUGAGGCUUAACCU
rnacentral:rRNA from 1 species